UCUUUGUAGAACCAUGAAAUUAUUGUUCUUAGCUUGGGUUAAAGAUUCUCACAUAUAGGUGGAAAAAACUAGUUAUUUAUUAUUUAUUUAGCACGAAGAGCACGCCCAGAGGCUUGUUCUAGAACUAGUGGCACAGCUAGAAUCCAAGGCUAUGGAAAUGACAGAUUUUCUGAUCAAGAAUAAACUCGAGCAGAUUGUAGAGAACUUUAAGGCGAGAUAUGCUCACAAUCCUCUCAGCUUAUACCAGAUAGUUCAACAGUGUU